CUUGGCAGCAUUUCUCCAACCUAAACAGUGGGGCAUUAGGAAGGGUAGAUGCCCAUCAGAUGCCGUUAUUUGAAAAUAUCCCCGGUAGUUCUUGUCUGAUUGUAAUAAAAUAUCUCAGCAGUGUAGGCUUUUCCAGAUUUUCAAAUGCUUGGAUGGUAUAGUCACUGGUCCAAUUUGAGUUUUUACCUCGAUAUUUAAUCAUGUAAAAAUAAGAUGUCUACUAACUAUGCUAUGAUAUCAACAAACACACAUUUGAUAUAUUUGAAUCCGUAAACUAAACAAUCCAACUUUGCCACUGCUAAAAAAAUCUGAGAUUUUACUUA